rnacentral:rRNA from 1 species
UACAGCCUUUUGGGCAUGAUUCUGUGGAGCGUGAGGAGUUAAACGCCUUCAUGCCUGCAUAUUCGUGUACUUUGGGUGUACUUGCCCGUGUGGUUAGUUAACAUCAAUUUUGGUUAUCAUAAAAUGGCUGGAGGAAUGUAGCUUCGAUUUCGAUUGAAGUGUUAUAGCCUUCGGCAGAUGUGAUGAUCGGGAUUGAGGAUUGCAACGGAUACCCUUCGGGGCUACCUGUCUGAUCUCUGAUCGUUGCUCUGGUGCCGAAAGCGUGCUUACGGUUAUCAAAGUCGAUGGUUAAUAGGUUAGAACGGGUUAAAUUCGUUAAGGAUGUUGACGUA